GUCCUUAGUUACCAGCACGUUAUGGUGGGCACUCUAAGGAGACUGCCGGUGACAAACCGGAGGAAGGUGGGGAUGACGUCAAGUCAUCAUGGCCCUUACGGCCUGGGCUACACACGUGCUACAAUGGUCGGUACAAAGGGUUUGCCAAGCCGCGAGGUGGAGCUAAUCCCAUAAAACCGAUCGUAGUCCGGAUCGCAGUCUGCAACUCGACUGCGUGAAGUCGGAAUCGCUAGUAAUCGUGAAUCAGAAUGUCACGGUGAAUACGUUCCCGGGCCUU
rnacentral:rRNA from 1 species